AAGCCUAUCCUUUUAGGGUUCAUUUCUAUAGCUCCUUACUAGAGAAGAUUCUCUGUGUAGUGCACUGGAAACCAUGAGUAGCUGCAGUGUUCUCCCCUGAGUGUAAAGCUGGUAUUGGGUGUUGUUUUGUGUAAGUGCCCAUCACCAUUGAUGAUCAUUCUUCUCUCCCCUUGGGAGAGAAGGCAGUCUGAGUGGG
rnacentral:snoRNA from 1 species